rnacentral:rRNA from 1 species
AGUGAACGCUGGCGGUAGGCCUAACACAUGCAAGUCGAACGGCAGCACAGUAAGAGCUUGCUCUUACGGGUGGCGAGUGGCGGACGGGUGAGGAAUACAUCGGAAUCUACUUUUUCGUGGGGGAUAACGUAGGGAAACUUACGCUAAUACCGCAUACGACCUACGGUUGAAAGCAGGGGAUCUUCGGACCUUGCGCGAUUGAAUGAGCCGAUGUCGGAUUAGCUAGUUGGCGGGGUAAAGGCCCACCAAGGCGACGAUCCGUAGCUGGUCUGAGAGGAUGAUAAGCCACACUGGAACUGAGACACGGUCAAGACUCCUAAGGGAGGCAGCAGUGGGGAAUAGUGGACAAUGGGCGCAAGCAUGAUCCAGCCAGACCGCGUGGGUGAAGAAGGCCUUCGGGUUGUAAAGACCUUUUGUUGGGAAAGAAAAGCAGCAGGUUAAUACCCCGCUGUUCUGACGGUACCCAAAGAAUAAGCACCGGCUAACUUCGUG